AGAACGAACGCUGGCGGCAUGCCUAAUACAUGCAAGUCGAACGAACUCUUCGGAGUUAGUGGCGCACGGGUGCGUAACGCGUGGGAAUCUGCCCCUUGGUUCGGAAUAACAGUUGGAAACGACUGCUAAUACCGGAUGAUGACGUAAGUCCAAAGAUUUAUCGCCCAAGGAUGAGCCCGCGUAGGAUUAGCUAGUUGGUGGGGUAACGGCUUACCAAGGCGAUGAUCGGUAGCUGGUCUGAGAGGACGAUCAGCCACACGGGGACUGAGACACGGCCCCGACUCCUACGGGAGGCAGCAGCAAGGAAUUUUCCACAAUGGGCGCAAGCCUGAUGGAGCAACGCCGCGUGGGGGAUGACGCACUUCGGUGUGUAAACCCUUUUCGAGGGGACGAAGGCAAUGACGGUACCCUCGGAAUAAGGAUCGGCUAACUACGUGCCAGCAGCCGC
rnacentral:rRNA from 1 species